rnacentral:misc_RNA from 1 species
UACGUAGGUGGCAAGCGUUGUCCGGAAUCACUGGGCGUAAAGCGUGUGUAGGCGGUAUGUUAAGUGAUAUGCGAAAUCUUGUGGCUCAACCAUAUAGACUGUGUAUCAUACUGGCAUACUUGAGGAUGGCAGAGGCAAGUGGAAUUGGCAGUGUAGCAGUGAAAUGCGUAGAUAUUGCCAGGAACACCAAUGGCGAAGGCAGCUUGCUGGGCCAUUUCUGACGCUGAGACACGAAAGCGUGGGGAGCGAACAGG